AAAUUGACGAUUGCGUAAAGGAUUAUCGCUAAGGGAUCUUGCUUUUCUAUCCUUAACGACGCAUUUUGAACAAAAACUAUCAAGCACGCCAGCAAAUCUCUUUUCCGGCAGACCUCUCUGCAGUUUUCGAUGUACGAGCUCACUCGCGAUAAAAUCCGAUUGCUUCCUGGAGAAGCGUAGUCGUGGAUCCUUGGUAAGAGGUACCAGCGGUACGGUGAACCAGCCGUAUCUGUAGAAACGACUUACUCCAUGUUCACCGCCGGCGGCCUAAACGAAUAAACGUCUUUGGGUAUCAUUUCCAUCUGGCGUUUAAUCAGGUUGAC